CACGAGGACUUCCCGGGAGGUCAU
rnacentral:snRNA from 1 species